rnacentral:rRNA from 1 species
AAAGCGUGCGCAGGCGGUUUUGUAAGUCAGAUGUGAAAUCCCCGAGCUCAACUUGGGAACUGCGUUUGAAACUACAAGGCUAGAGUAUGGUAGAGGGGGGUAGAAUUCCACGUGUAGCAGUGAAAUGCGUAGAGAUGUGGAGGAAUACCAAUGGCGAAGGCAGCCCCCUGGACUAAUACUGACGCUCAUGCACGAAAGCGUGGGGAGCAAACAGGAUUAGAUACCCUUGU